CUCUACAUUUUGAGACUAAAAAAAGAGCAUGGAAUGUACAUCAAAGUACUCCUCUCAUAACCACAGCCAGGACUCGUCAAAGCCCUAAAAAGGAUCUGUCGACGUUCUCGGGUUAAGAAACAUGAUCCCCGCUGCUACCGGGUUAAACUAAAAAAAAAUUGUCAAGGACAGUCAAAUUUAGUCAAGCAAAGUCAAAUUUAGUCAAGCUAGGUAUGGCAAGUAGUGAAUUUACCCAUAGUUAAUGGAACAUAAGUACUUAAUAUUGACUGCCAUUAUCAUUUGUAUUUUCUUUUAGGGCCCACAAAUGGACACGGAGUGUUGUGGAACGGGGAAUAGGACAGCUCAAGCGCCGCUUUCAUGUCCUACACAGCGAGGUCCGAGUAACUCCCCCGGUGAAGGUGUGCAAGCUGAUACAUGUAUGCGGCAUGCUCCACAACAUCUGCAAGGACAGGAAUAUUCCCAUUCCUCUCGAUGCGGCUCAACCUAACGGUGAAGAAGUGGAUCUUGCCAUGGCACAACCUGAAGGUGUGCAAGUUGUGCCGCCACUUCCAGCUGGUCAGCGGAAUGAAGGUCGCCUGUAUCGAGAUGAAUUCUGCAACUUGCAUUUCCACAAUGAAGACUGAAACCCGUUCCUCAGCACGACUGGACAAGUACAUGCCAAGCUGCCUCCCGUGCCCUUUCAGCUGCCUCCUGUG